AAGUCGAGCGGUAGAGAGAAGCUUGCUUCUCUUGAGAAAGAGAGGACGGGUGAGUAAUGCCUAGGAAUCUGCCUGGUAGUGGGGGAUAACGUUCGGAGACGGACGCUGGUACCGCAUACGUCCUGCGGGAGAAAGCAGGGGACCUUCGGGCCUUGCGCUAUCAGAUGAGCCUAGGUCGGAUUAGCUAGUUGGUGAGGUAAUGGCUCGCCAAGGGUACGAUCCGUAACUGGUCUGAGAGGAGGAUCAGUCACACUGGAAGGGAGACAGGGUCCAGCCUCCUACGGGAGGCAGGAGUGGGGAAUAUUGGACAAUGGG
rnacentral:rRNA from 1 species